rnacentral:lncRNA from 1 species
AUGUAAUGUUUGGUUUGGAAAUUAGGCUAAAAUUGCAUCAAUAGUUCUAAAACUAUGAGGCACAUUACAACAAAUUCAUGAUUUAGCGGCAUUUACACUACAACAAAAAGGUCUAUAACGACACUUCUAAAUGUCGGUACAAGUCAAAAAAAGUGCUGCUGGCUAAAUUACCGACACUUUUAAAAAGUAUUGCUAUAUGUAGGGUCGCUAGGUAUAUAGUGACAGUUAAAAAGUGACGGUAUAAUCUAAAAUGAGUGCUGCUAAUUUACUAACACUUAUUUAAGCAUUUAGCAACCGCCGGAACUCUAGCUCGUUGGCUGCGGUGGCGGAGGAUGAGGAGAGGGAAGGGCUCUUCGUCUAGGAUUUCAGUAAAUUGAGUGAGGGGAGAAGGGGAGAUGGUAAUCGAUUUUUCUUUUUUUUUUCCUUUCUGUUUGGAAUCGGGCCAAACUGGCUGGGUUGGAUGGGUUGAGUAUAGUAACAUUUUAUUUUUUAUUGGAUUCGGCUUUAUAUUUAAGCAUUAGUAGAUAUUUU